rnacentral:rRNA from 1 species
GACGAACGCUGGCGGCGUGCCUAAUACAUGCCAGUAGAACGCACAGUUUAUACCGUAGCUUGCUACACCAUAGACUGUGAGUUGCGAACGGGUGAGUAACGCGUAGGUAACCUGCCUGGUAGCGGGGGAUAACUAUUGGAAACGAUAGCUAAUACCGCAUAAUAUUAAUUAUUGCAUGAUAAUUAAUUGAAAGGUGCAAUUGCACCACUACCAGAUGGACCUGCGUUGUAUUAGCUAGUAGGUGAGGUAACGGCUCACCUAGGCGACGAUACAUAGCCGACCUGAGAGGGUGAUCGGCCACACUGGGACUGAGACACGGCCCAGACCCCUACGGGAGGCAGCAGUAGGGAAUCUUCGGCAAUGGACGAAAGUCUGACCGAGCAACGCCGCGUGAGUGAAGAAGGUUUUCGGAUCGUAAAGCUCUGUUGUAAGAGAAGAACGGGUGUGAGAGUGGAAAGUUCACACUGUGACGGUAUCUUACCAGAAAGGGACGGCUAACUACGUG